UGGGCCUCCAAUGAUCAUCCAACUAAUGGACCCAUUAUCAUCUAAAUUAAUAGGAAGAAGUCAUCUAGUUAUCAUCAUAAUUAUCUCAUUUUAAGAAUCUAAUAAUUUAGAGAAUUUAAAAAUUAAUUUAGAGAAAAGAUUGGACCAACUAUUCUUAAUCCUCCCACUGUUCACCAAGUAAGAUCAAAGAAGAUUAAGCUUAAUCUGAUCCAUCCAACUCGUCAUAAAUUUUUUCAUUGACUUCACUAAGUCAUGAAGAGGACUCAAGACUAGCUGGUC
rnacentral:lncRNA from 1 species